rnacentral:sRNA from 1 species
GUUGAACCAGACCGACUUUAUUGGCCGCGAAUUCACUAUUCUUGUUUCUUGCUUGCUCAUCUUCUCGAUGCUUUAAGAAUACCCUACAUGGUUCAGCGCUAGCCUACUUGUUUCGUGCUUCUCUCGAUUGUUUUUCACUGUCAACUCCAUUCUGAAGCAUGUUUGCGGAUGUGAUGGGAAUCUCAAACGGCGGAGACGGGAAAGAUCCUGUCAUUCGCAUAGGCAGAAACUCAGGGAGAGCAUGACAAACGCUAUGCCAUUAUUACUAUGUAUGCAUAUUGGUCAAUAUAUACAUCCGAUCUUAAAUCAAGCGGAUGGUGUUUAAAAGCACAACACUGUAAAAAAAAAAAAAAAAGAAAAAGAAAAGAAAAAUCGUGAAAGACAAGCAAAAUACGUUUAAGUGGAGAGAAAACCAAGCCGGAGCGUGAAAACCAGAUGGGAGUAACAGCAGGUCAACAGGAGACAAUAAGGGCC